UUAAAACAUAUAUUUUCACGAUAAUUAAAGCAUAUUAUAAAAUACAAUAUUUCAAUUUUUUAUGCGAUUUUGAAAGAAAAAAAAAAUGGCGCAAUUCUAGCCAAUCAGAAAGUUAUUGUUUUUAUUGUACAUGAAAUUAAUUAUUAGGACAUAUAUAAGUAACUAUUGGAAUAUAUAUAACGCAAUACAUCAAUUUUCACGCGGUUUCAAAACAAUAAUAAACCGUACAGGUCGAGCUAAUCGGAAAUCAUUCUCUACAUAUGGCGUCAGUCUAUUAUUGAAAAUCGUAGCGAGCGGAUGUAUUACAUUUGUAGAAGUAUAUAAUUGAGAAAAUUUUUAUUAACAAGGUAUUUUAUUAUAAUUUAUAUAUUAUUACUAGUAUAAUAAAGUUUGUUUAAUUAAUAAUAUGAAUUUGUUUAAUUUAUUAAACAUUAAUAUAUCAAAAUUAAAUAAUCUUUUAAAUUUUUUUUCGUUUUACAAUAUUAGCAAUAAUUUGUAUUAUAAAGUUUGUAUUAUAAAAUUUGUAUUUUAAAUCAGAUUUAAAUUAUCGUUAUAUUAAUUUAAUAUAAUUUUUAUUUUAAAUAUAUAGUUUACGGUUUUAAUUUUUAUUUAUGCAAAUUAUCGUUUGAUCAUUAAGAUAAUUUCGAAAAUAUAAUAAUUUAUCCAUAAGAUUAAAAGACAAUUUGAUAAAUUUUAUGCAAAUAUAAUAAGAUAUUCGUAUAAGUUAUUUUCGUAAAAGUUGUAAUUAUUAUAAAGUUUUUAAUUUUUUUAUAAAAGUGACGAUAAAUCAUUGUAGAUGAUAGAUUUGUUUUCGCAAUAGCUCAUUUUGCAUAAUGAUAAAAAAUUUGAAUGUGUAAAUGCACACAAAAAAAAGAAUUUAUUUGAAAAUAAAUAGAUUUUUUUCGUUAAAAUAGAUGAUAUAAUCUCCAAUCUGCAAUAAUUUCUACAAGAUGAAAUCAUUAUUAUUCAUAAUCAUUUCCUUAAUACAAUUAUAAAUUGUAAACUAAAUAAUAUAAAUUAGUUCGUUGCAUACAUAAUUAAAAAAUAAAACAAUCGUAUAAAAAAACAAUCAUAUAAUAUAAUUUAUUACUUGUAGAUAAGUUAUCCAUUAGCUGACCGACUGUCGAUUGUAGCUAAAAAACUUACCGACAUAACUUUCGGAAUAAAACAUUAUGCGUAUUUUAAAAUAUUCACAAAUAUACAUUUUUAGAAUGUCUACAUAUAAAAUGUAUAUUUUAAAUGUAAUUUGUAUAAGAAAUCAUAUAGUUUCGAUAUGCCUAAACAAUAAGAUGGUCAUAGAAAUUGUGCUUUUUUCUAUUAAGUAAAUAUAGCUCAAUGGAUAAGAAUAAUAGGUAUCCGUCGGUAUCGAUAUAACAUCGUAUAUAAUUACUUAUAAAUUUUGAUUGAAUAUUUUAAUAUAAAAUAUUUAUUGUUGUUAAUUUAUUAAAAUUACCAUUUUUAGAGUAUUUUUACAUAUCGUAAAAAAGCUAUAAUUGUUGAUUUAAACAAUUUGUAUAUAAAUUUUUUUUAUUUGCUUUAUAUGUAAUAACAAUUUAUUUUUAAUUUUUUUAUUGAACAAAAGUGUCAUAGAUAGUUUAAAUAUAGUAAUUUAUCUGCAUUCACAGUUUCAUUUAGUUCUAAUUUUAAUCACUACGAAUAUUAUAAUCUCAUUUUGUACUGAAUCGGUAAAGUUGAAAAUGACACUAAAAUGAUAAAGCGAUUUUCUGGAAUUUUUUGACAUAGAAAAACAUAGUACAUACAUUUUAUAUUUCGUAAUGUUUAUUAGAAUAUUAUUAAUUAUUUUUAUUUUUAUCAAUUAUUUUUAUUGUAUUAAAUUAUAUAAAUUAUACAAA